rnacentral:rRNA from 1 species
GACGUCAAGUCAUCAUGGCCCUUACGACCAGGGCUACACACGUGCUACAAUGGCAUAUACAAAGAGAAGCGACCUCGCGAGAGCAAGCGGACCUCAUAAAGUAUGUCGUAGUCCGGAUUGGAGUCUGCAACUCGACUCCAUGAAGUCGGAAUCGCUAGUAAUCGUAGAUCAGAAUGCUACGGUGAAUACGUUCCCGGGCCUUGUACACACCGCCCGUCACACCAUGGGAGUGGGUUGCAAAAGAAGUAGGUAGCUUAACCUUCGGGAGGGCGCUUACCACUUUGUGAUUCAUGACUGGGGUGAAGUCGUAACAAGGUAACCGUAGGGGAACCUGCGGUUGGAUCACCUCCUUACCUUAAAGAA